CAGGCCGAGAGUCGGUGCCAAUGGAGACCCUCGGAGGUUAAGGAUCCCGGCGUGCACUGCGACUGCAAGCCUAAGUGUUUCCGAAAGACUUCAAAUCCCAGUAUGCCACGCUCCCUUCCGAGCCGCAGGGCUCUGAGCCUAAGCGAACUGCAAGUCCCAGCAUACCCAGCACUGGCACCGCUGUGACUUCAAGCUCACUUGCUUGGUAGCUGUCAGAACAAUCUGGAGGCUUGUUUGCAUUUGGAGGCGCUACAGUUCAAAAGAAACCUACAAGUUGGGGGCGCAUGGAGAUGAGUAAGGCUCUUGCACUGGCCUUUGGAACUGAGCCUUGAAUUGACUGAAGCAGACAGAGGAACUUGGAAACUCUAACCUGGAGAAGAGCAGAUUUAACAGAGGAGCACAAAGGAGCCAGUGAGGUUUACCUUGACUGGGCUGGUGCAAAAUGAAAGCUUCACCAACUGUGGCAUGGAGGACAAGGGCA